UGAUCUCUUUGAGGCAAUUCUUGGAGAUGCCGGGUGAGUUCUGUUCCUCACUGCCAGACCUGUGAGGUGAUUUAGGGAGGGGUAACUUUCAAGGUCUUCUAGGGUUUUACCAGCUCCUGUGGUUCACCUUUUCCUUCCCAAACAGCUCAAGGAGCUGUAAAGAUGAGAAUUAGAGAAUGAAUGGAAGUCCCUAUGAGGUUCUCUAAGGAAUGGGAGCAUCUCUGUUUUUCCUGAGAGGAAAAGCAAGGAGAAAGGAAAGUUAAAUUCUAGUCAUGGCUUGAAUGAGUC
rnacentral:lncRNA from 1 species